rnacentral:pre_miRNA from 1 species
AUUGCCUAGGAAUCUUGUUAAAAUGCAGAUUCUGAUUCAGUGAGUCUGGCAAGGGGCCAAGAUUCCCAUUUCUAACAAGCUCCCAGGUGAUUAGAA